rnacentral:rRNA from 1 species
AGAGUUUGAUCAUGGCUCAGAUUGAACGCUGGCGGCAGGCCUAACACAUGCAAGUCGAGCGGUAGCACAGAGAGCUUGCUCUCGGGUGACGAGCGGCGGACGGGUGAGUAAUGUCUGGGAAACUGCCUGAUGGAGGGGGAUAACUACUGGAAACGGUAGCUAAUACCGCAUAAUGUCGCAAGACCAAAGUGGGGGACCUUCGGGCCUCAUGCCAUCAGAUGUGCCCAGAUGGGAUUAGCUAGUAGGUGGGGUAACGGCUCACCUAGGCGACGAUCCCUAGCUGGUCUGAGAGGAUGACCAGCCACACUGGAACUGAGACACGGUCCAGACUCCUACGGGAGGCAGCAGUGGGGAAUAUUGCACAAUGGGCGCAAGCCUGAUGCAGCCAUGCCGCGUGUGUGAAGAAGGCCUUCGGGUUGUAAAGCACUUUCAGCGGGGAGGAAGGCGUUAAGGUUAAUAACCUUGGCGAUUGACGUUACCCGCAGAAGAAGCACCGGCUAACUCCGUGCCAGCAGCCGCGGUAAUACGGAGGGUGCAAGCGUUAAUCGGAAUUACUGGGCGUAAAGCGCACGCAGGCGGUCUGUCAAGUCGGAUGUGAAAUCCCCGGGCUCAACCUGGGAACUGCAUUCGAAACUGGCAGGCUAGAGUCUUGUAGAGGGGGGUAGAAUUCCAGGUGUAGCGGUGAAAUGCGUAGAGAUCUGGAGGAAUACCGGUGGCGAAGGCGGCCCCCUGGACAAAGACUGACGCUCAGGUGCGAAAGCGUGGGGAGCAAACAGGAUUAGAUACCCUGGUAGUCCACGCCGUAAACGAUGUCGAUUUGGAGGUUGUGCCCUUGAGGCGUGGCUUCCGGAGCUAACGCGUUAAAUCGACCGCCUGGGGAGUACGGCCGCAAGGUUAAAACUCAAAUGAAUUGACGGGGGCCCGCACAAGCGGUGGAGCAUGUGGUUUAAUUCGAUGCAACGCGAAGAACCUUACCUGGUCUUGACAUCCACAGAACUUAGCAGAGAUGCUUUGGUGCCUUCGGGAACUGUGAGACAGGUGCUGCAUGGCUGUCGUCAGCUCGUGUUGUGAAAUGUUGGGUUAAGUCCCGCAACGAGCGCAACCCUUAUCCUUUGUUGCCAGCGGUCCGGCCGGGAACUCAAAGGAGACUGCCAGUGAUAAACUGGAGGAAGGUGGGGAUGACGUCAAGUCAUCAUGGCCCUUACGACCAGGGCUACACACGNAGCGGUGAAAUGCGUAGAGAUCUGGAGGAAUACCGGUGGCGAAGGCGGCCCCCUGGACAAAGACUGACGCUCAGGUGCGAAAGCGUGGGGAGCAAACAGGAUUAGAUACCCUGGUAGUCCACGCCGUAAACGAUGUCGAUUUGGAGGUUGUGCCCUUGAGGCGUGGCUUCCGGAGCUAACGCGUUAAAUCGACCGCCUGGGGAGUACGGCCGCAAGGUUAAAACUCAAAUGAAUUGACGGGGGCCCGCACAAGCGGUGGAGCAUGUGGUUUAAUUCGAUGCAACGCGAAGAACCUUACCUGGUCUUGACAUCCACAGAACUUUGCAGAGAUGGUUUGGUGCCUUCGGGAACUGUGAGACAGGUGCUGCAUGGCUGUCGUCAGCUCGUGUUGUGAAAUGUUGGGUUAAGUCCCGCAACGAGCGCAACCCUUAUCCUUUGUUGCCAGCGGUUCGGCCGGGAACUCAAAGGAGACUGCCAGUGAUAAACUGGAGGAAGGUGGGGAUGACGUCAAGUCAUCAUGGCCCUUACGACCAGGGCUACACACGUGCUACAAUGGCAUAUACAAAGAGAAGCGACCUCGCGAGAGCAAGCGGACCUCAUAAAGUAUGUCGUAGUCCGGAUUGGAGUCUGCAACUCGACUCCAUGAAGUCGGAAUCGCUAGUAAUCGUAGAUCAGAAUGCUACGGUGAAUACGUUCCCGGGCCUUGUACACACCGCCCGUCACACCAUGGGAGUGGGUUGCAAAAGAAGUAGGUAGCUUAACCUUCGGGAGGGCGCUUACCACUUUGUGAUUCAUGACUGGGGUGAAGUCGUAACAAGGUAACCGUAGGGGAACCUGCGGUUGGAUCACCU